AAUGAACGUUGGCGGCGUGGAUUAGGCAUGCAAGUCGAGCGAGAACCCCGCAAGGGGGGACCGCGGCGAAAGGGACAGUAAUGUGUAGAUUAUCUGCCCUCAGGUCCGGGAUAGCUGCGGGAAACUGCAGGUAAUACCGGAUAACAUCUCCGGAUCAAAGGUGUGAUUCCGCCUGAGGAUGAGUCUGCAUCCUAUUAGCUAGUUGGUGGGGUAAUGGCCUACCAAGGCAUUGAUGGGUAGCAGGUGUGAGAGCACGACCUGCGUCAUUGGGACUGAGACACUGCCCAGACACCUACGGGUGGCUGCAGGCGAGAAUCUUCGGCAAUGGGCGCAAGCCUGACCGAGCGACGCCGCGUGUGGGAUGAAGGCCUUCGGGUUGUAAACCACUGUCAGAGGGGAUGAAAUGCAGGUGGGUUCUCCCAUCUGUUUGACAUAGCCUCAGAGGAAGAACGGGCUAAGUUCGUG
rnacentral:rRNA from 1 species